rnacentral:rRNA from 1 species
CCUACGGGUGGCUGCAGUGAGGAAUAUUGGUCAAUGGACGAGAGUCUGAACCAGCCAAGUAGCGUGAAGGAUGACUGCCCUAUGGUUUGUAAACUUCUUUUAUAUGGGAAUAACAUGUUCCACGUGUGGGAUUUUGUAUGUACCAUAUGAAUAAGGCUCGGCUAACUCCGUGCCAGCAGCCGCGGUAAUACGGAGGAUCCGAGCGUUAUCCGGAUUUAUUGGGUUUAAAGGGAGCGUAGGUGGAUUUUUAAGUCAGUUGUGAAAGUUUGCGGCUCAACCGUAAAAUUGCAGUUGAAACUGGCAGUCGGUAGUACAGUAGAGGUGGGCGGAAUUCGUGGUGUAGCGGUGAAAUGCUUAGAUAUCACGAAGAACUCCGAUUGCGAAGGCAGUUCACUGGACUGCAACUGACACUGAGGCUCGAAAGUGUGGGUAUCAAACAGGAUUAGAUACCCCAGUAGUC